rnacentral:rRNA from 1 species
GACGAACGCUGGCGGCGUGCCUAAUACAUGCAAGUUGAGCGAUGAAGCUUGGUGCUUGCCCCAAUUUGAAGAGCAGCGAACGGGUGAGUAACGCGUGGGGAAUCUGCCUUUGAGCGGGGGACAACAUUUGGAAACGAAUGCUAAUACCGCAUAAUAACUUUAAACAUAAGUUUUAAGUUUGAAAGAUGCAAUUGCAUCACUCAAAGAUGAUCCCGCGUUGUAUUAGCUAGUUGGUGAGGUAAAGGCUCACCAAGGCGAGGAUACAUAGCCGACCUGAGAGGGUGAGUGGCCGGAUUGGGACGGAGACACGGCCCAAACGCCUACGGGAGGCAGCAGGAGGGAAUCUGCGGCAAUGGACGAAAGUCUGACCGAGCAACGCCGAGGGAGUGAAGAAGGGUGUCGGAUCGUAAAACUCGGUUGGUAGAGAAGAACGUUGGUGAGAGUGGAAAGCUCAUCAAGUGACGGUAACUACCCAGAAAGGGACGGCUAACUACGUG